GGAGAUAUAGCUCAGUUGGUAGGGCACUUGCCUUACAUGCACAAGGCCCUGGGUUUGAUCCCAGUACCACCA
rnacentral:tRNA from 1 species